GAGCCAGAGGCAGCAGCAGCCAUGUUGUGGCUCCGUUGUCUUUGCGUCAUGGCCGGGUGCCUCCUGUCAGGUUCCACGGCCGCGAUCACCUUAACCCAGCCCCCUUCUGCCCAGGCAGCGCCCGGCGGGUCCCUCACCCUGGACUGUGUCGUUGCCGGGUACAACAUCAAUGACCAUCAUUUGCACUGGAUACGACAGGCCCCCGGGGAAGGUCUGGUCUGGCUGGCAGCCUUCAGAACCGGUUACACCACCCACGUCGCGCAGGCGUUCCAAGGGCGGCUCACCCCCUCCACCAGCGGCUCCACUGCCCGGCUGAGGGUCGACAGACUGACAGCUGCCGACACGGCCACCUACUACUGUGCAAGAGAGUCACAGUGCUCCCUUCGCAGCUUCCUCUCCUACAGUAACCUCAUGGGCCUGGGUUCUCCUGCCUCUGCCUGAAAUCCAGCCCCUUGCCCGAGCCUGCGCCUGGGAAAGCUCCCAGAGAAGCCCCUAAAAUAAGGCCUGGGGGUUAAACAGGCUGCGGGGGGAGUCCCCUGCAUGGGGGAGAACGUCUCUCCCAAGAAAUUAAUCUUGCAGCGUUACCCUCAAACACAGCCUCAGGCAGCACCGUCAGCUCCUGGCUAGAGCGCUGGGCUAGGAAUCCGGCCCGUCGAGUUCUCUGCUAUUGCUCUGUGGGGUGGCCUGAGGUAA